GUGGCUCCUGAAUAACUCCAACUUCACCUCCGUGCUGCAGAAGGAGAAUUUCCUCAGCAGGGUGUUGCCGAUGACUGUGAGAUUGGUAGUCUGCUUCUUGAUGUCAUCAUCAUCGGUCCUUUCCCUGUUGAUGACAUGGCCCAGUUUCAGGAUCCAACGUUGCACCACUGCUGGGACAUAUGGGCUGCUAGGUGUUGUAGCACCCGUUACGCUUUCAGGUGACACUCAGCCUCCUGUGAAAGCGGCGAUUCGGAUCCUGCUUCAGUCAACUCCACCGGACGCGAUGUGGAUGGCCAACGCGAAGGUGGGGGCCAAACUACACUGGGACUCAGCCGAACACCAACACCUUUACCCCGGAUUCCCAUCCAGCUCUCACCGCCACACGGGGUAACUGCUGCCCCCGUCUUCGCGCUCCUCCGUUCUGGACGUCACGGCCCCACCACGCUGCCGCGUCUCCACCUUAUAACUACUUGUGGCACCUGGGCCUCCACUUCUUGGACGUCACGGCCCCGCAUCGCCGCCGUGUGUCACCACCUAGCUUGUGGCAUCUGGGCUCGAACGUCACGACACCGCCUCGCUGCCAAGUCACCACCUAGCUUGAGGCUCUGGGCCCUUCCAUCCGGGACUCCUCGUCGACGCCUUGUAACUCAACGCCCGCGUCGCCUUAUCCAGUGGAUGGUGUCGCUACGUCAACAACGGCGACGGGCAAGACGUACAUGUGUGUUAAGUGAGGAGGCGAUUAAAUGUUAAACGUU